rnacentral:rRNA from 1 species
AUUGAACGCUGGCGGCAGGCCUAACACAUGCAAGUCGAGCGGAGCGGCGGACGGGUGGGUAAUGCAUAGGAAUCUGCCUGGUCGUGGUGGAUAACGUACGGAAACGGGCGCUAAUACCGCAUACUAUCAGAUGAGCCUAGGUCGGAUUAGCUAGUUGGUGGGGUAAAGGCCUACCAAGGCGACGAUCCGUAACUGGUCUGAGAGGAUGAUCAGUCAACCUGGAACUGAGACACGGUCCAGACUCCUACGGGAGGAAGCAGGGGAGAAGAUUGGACAAUGGGCGAAAGCCUGAUGGAGCCAUGCAGCGUGUGUGAAGAAGGGCUGCGGAUUGUAAAGCACUUUAAGUUGGGAGGCGUUACCAACAGAAUAAGCACCGGCUAACUUCGUGCCAGCAGCCGCGGUAAUUC